rnacentral:rRNA from 1 species
AGCAGCCGCGGUAAUUCCAGCUCCAAUAGCGUAUAUUAAAGUUGCUGCAGUUAAAAAGCUCGUAGUUGAAUUUCGGGACUAAUAUGUCGGUCGUGCCUCGGUACGUACCGGUUUAUUGGUUUCUCCUUUCUGAAGAACCAUGAUGUCAUUUAUUUGGUGUCGUGGGGAAUCAGGACUGUUACUUUGAAAAAUUAGAGUGUUUAAAGCAGGCUCACGCUUGAAUACAUUAGCAUGGAAUAAUGAAAUAGGACGUUUGAUUCUAUUUUGUUGGUUUCUAGGAUCGACGUAAUGAUUAAUAGGGAUAGUUGGGGGCAUUAGUAUUCAAUUGUCAGAGGUGAAAUUCUUGGAUUUAUUGAAGACUAACUACUGCGAAAGCAUUUGCCAAGGAUGUUUUCAUUAAUCAAGAACGAAAGUUAGGGGAUCGAAGACGAUCAGAUACCGUCGUAGUCUUAACCAUAAACUAUGCCGACUAGGGAUCGGAUGAUGUUAAUUUUUUAAUGACUCA